GUGAGGAGACUAGCGAAGGAUGAUCCUGAGGCGAGAGAGACGCUGGCGAUGCUCGAAGCGAUCCCUCCAUUGAUUGGAAUGAUCGAUUCUGAAGAUGCCGAGUCGCAGAUCUCGGCGCUUUAUGCUUUGCUUAAUCUUGUGAUCGGAAAUGACUUGAUGUUGAAGGGGUGAUUGAAACCAAAGAAGAGCUCCUAGGCAGUCUGUAGGCAGCUACUGAUGAUGCUUGUAGUAUCAAAUUCUCGGUGCACAUAAUCUUUUAACUUCAGCAAUGAGGGUGGAGACAAUUCUACAGAAACAGAGGAUUCUGUCUGGCAACCUGAGUUGGAAAAGCCUAUAAGAGGUAAAAGGAGUAAGAGCACCUACAAGGAGUUCUAAGGGAUUACAAGACAACAUGAGUUUAAAAUAUCAGGGCAUACGUUUUCCUGGUAGAGAUGAUGAGAGUUUGGCUCCAAUAUUUACCCCGCCCCGUUCAGUUGCAGAGCCAGAAUCUUAUGCCAAUGCAGCUAGUCAGGCUGAUCAUGAUGUCCCUGUUGAGAGUUUUACAGCUGAGCAGAGAAGGGAUGAGCUUGAUGUUGCUCAAAUCAGCUUUGAAAUUCUUUCGACCGUGUUAUCCUCUUCUCUUCAGCAUUUUGUAUUAGGGGAUGACUCGAUGACAUUCCUCGUGCAACGAUUCCGACAAUGUUAACGUACCGUCCAGAGAAUCAUAGAGAUAGCCGAAGACAGCGAAGCUGUAUUGUUCGAAGCACUGAGUAUCAACGACGAACUUCAAAAGACAAUCUCCAAAUAUGAAGACCUAAAAAAACCUCUAGCUGCCCAAACCAAGCGAGAGCAACUUAAGCAUGACUCUAUGUAACGACGAAAUAUUAACUUUUGUUGGUUUGUAUUUGUUGGAUAUUUUGGAUAUCUAGUUUGUUGAAUUGUUAUAUGCAAUAUUCGAAGUUUCUACUUUAUUUA